GACGAACGCUGGCGGCGUGCUUAACACAUGCCAGUCGAACGGAAAGACCCUGCUUUUGUGGGGUGCUCGAGUGGCGAACGGGUGAGUAACACGUGAGUAACCUGCCCUUGACUUUGGGAUAACUUCAGGAAACUGGGGCUAAUACCGGAUAGGAGCUCCUGCUGCAUGGUGGGGGUUGGAAAGUUUCGGCGGUUGGGGAUGGACUCGCGGCUUAUCAGCUUGUUGGUGGGGUAGUGGCUUACCAAGGCUUUGACGGGUAGCCGGCCUGAGAGGGUGACCGGCCACAUUGGGACUGAGAUACGGCCCAGACUCCUACGGGAGGCAGCAGUGGGGAAUAUUGCACAAUGGGCGGAAGCCUGAUGCAGCAACGCCGCGUGCGGGAUGACGGCCUUCGGGUUGUAAACCGCUUUCGCCUGUGGCGAAGCGUGAGUGACGGUAAUGGGUAAAGAAGCACCGGCUAACUACGUG
rnacentral:rRNA from 1 species